GAUUUAUAUAAAAGAUGAGAUUCUAAAUUUUUGGCAUCAGUUCGAUUUUCAUCAUCUGACCAGCUUUGAAAAUGCGCAUUUUUUUCCUCCUCGUUGUCUUCCUGGCGGUGGCGUACACCGCCUCUGCUGAACCACAACCCAGUCGUGGACGCUGUCCUGUCUCGACAGUCUGGCGACGAUGUGGUUCCCGAUGUCCACCAACUUGUGCCAACCGUAGACCUCGCUGCCGUCGCCGGCCCUGCAGAGCCGGAUGCUUCUGCCCCAGGGGUACAAUACGACUAAGUCCCACCGGUCCAUGUGUGAGAUCAUGUCCUACUAAUUAAAAAUUCCCCAAGCGUUUACACAUUAUGCUGUUCAGCGACUCCGUAAAUAACCGUAUCGAUGUAUUCUUAUGAUUAACAAUCUGUUGUCAUCAAUAAAAUAAUCAAUCACAU